GACGAACGCUGGCGGCGUGCUUAACACAUGCAAGUCGAACGGUGAAGGGAUCAGCUUGCUGGUUCUGGAUGAGUGGCGAACGGGUGAGUAACACGUGAGUAACCUGCCCCCUUCUUCUGGAUAACCGCAUGAAAGUGUGGCUAAUACGGGAUAUUCUGGGUCUGUCGCAUGAUGGGUCUGGGAAAGAUAUUGUUUCGGUGGGGGAUGGGCUCGCGGCCUAUCAGCUUGUUGGUGGGGUGAUGGCCUACCAAGGCGGUGACGGGUAGCCGGCCUGAGAGGGGGGACGGUCACACUGGGACUGAGACACGGCCCAGACUCCUACGGGAGGGAGCAGUGGGGAAUAUUGCACAAUGGGCGCAAGCCUGAUGCAGCGACGCCGCGUGAGGGAGGGAGGGCUUCGGGUUGUAAACCUCUUUCGCCAGUGAAGCAGGCCUGCUCCUUGUGGGUGGGUUGACGGUAGCUGGAUAAGAAGCGCCGGCUAACUACGUG
rnacentral:rRNA from 1 species